UACAGAGGUCUCAAGCGUUGUUCGGAUUCAUUGGGCGUAAAGGGUGCGUAGGCGGCGCGGUAAGUCGGGUGUGAAAUCUCGGAGCUUAACUUCGAAACUGCAUUCGAUACUGCCGUGCUUGAGGACUGGAGAGGAGGCUGGAAUUUACGGUGUAGCGGUGAAAUGCGUAGAUAUCGUAAGGAAGACCAGUGGCGAAGGCGGGUCUCUGGACAGUUCCUGACGCUGAGGCACGAAGGCCAGGGGAGCAAACGGG
rnacentral:rRNA from 1 species